GUAUGGGACAAUGUUAGCAGAAUUGGCUGUUUCUACGGGAUAACGUGAACAGUAUUGGCUGGCUGUAUGGGACAACGUUAGCAAAAUUGGCUGUAUCUACCAUGGGCGUCGGCAGGAAUUUUUCCAGGGGGGGGCAUAAUUGUAAUGACAUCCAUGCUUGGUACCUUUUUGACAGUGUCAUGAAAGGGAAGGGGCAUAGCCAUUAUCACAUAAAGCCAGGGUGAAUAGCGUUUUCACAACUAUGGUGUCAGGAAUAUAUGUUUGUAUUCCUGACACUAUAGUGUUUC